GGGGGAGGGGACACGGCCCGGCCCGGCGCCCCCGGAGGCGGCCGCUCCGCGCUCCCGUACCUGCGCUGGAAGUCCGUCCGGAAGGGCUCCAGUUGCGUCUAAGUCCUGAGCUUGGCAGUCUUCCUGAUGCAGACAGAGACGGGACUUGCUUUGUAAGUCAUCAGCCCCUGAGGCCUACACAAGAACAGUGAUGUUUAGGUUGGGGGAUUCUAAUUCCUCAGCUUUGGCACUCCUGCAGCUGUCUCCUCAGCAGCUCCUGUGUUGCCAUCUGAUUCAACACUUGCACAAGGAACACUUGCAAAGGGAGAUGAGUCAUUCUCUAAAUCUGGAACAUCGUCCUCGGAACACAAAACCUUCCUCUGCAGGACUUAAGGGCAAGUAUUUACUGUGUCAUUUUGCAUGGGAUGUUUUAGCUGCUCUUACUUUGAAUUACUAGUGUGUCUUACUGAAAAGUACAUAAUUUAUCGUAUCCACCAAAAUUUUCUUUGUGACAUUUGUGUUGCAAAGUGCCAAAUACUUAUGUUCUUACUUCUGUGUUCCAUUUCCUUUUCUUGUAAUUAAUUGUCAUUUCAGAAUAGACUCACAUCUUCACUGAUUGUUUUUAGUACAUACAUGUAAUUUCUGUGAACUAUAACUACUUUGCUGUCAUUCAGGAACCCUUGAGUCUCAAGGAACAUAACCUCCUGUACAAUCAAACUGUUAUUCCAGUCAGAACAUUGAAAGAUGCUCACUGUGAAUAUCAAUCUGACUUAAGUCAUGUGAUAUACCUAACAUUUAAAAGGGCUGAUGAAUGAGGACAUGUAUUAGACACCCUGAAAGUGAGGAAAAAUCAAGAUCAACUGUUUAUGUCUUAUUAUUUUCUUAGCAUUAUAAAAUACCAUACACAUUCUUUGCAUUUUUAAAAUGAAGGACUUGUGUCCAUCUUGUCUCUGUGCUUGCCAGAAAUGUUGCA